rnacentral:rRNA from 1 species
UACGGGGGGUGCGAGCGUUGUUCGGAAUCACUGGGCGUAAAGGGCGUGUAGGCGGUCCGCUAAGUCUGAUGUGAAAGCCCGGGGCUCACCCCCGGAAGUGCAUUGGAAACUGGCGGACUCGAGUCCCGGAGAGGAGAGUGGAAUUCCUGGUGUAGCGGUGAAAUGCGCAGAUAUCGGGAGGAACACCAAUGGCGAAGGCAGCUCGCUGGGACGUUACUGACGCUGAGACGCGAAAGCGUGGGGAGCAAACAGG